rnacentral:lncRNA from 1 species
CCACAAGUGGGUUGAAAAUAAGCUAAUUGUAUAGGACAGAAAAAGGAAAAGGGGAGGGGUCAUAAGGCGAUAUAAGCAUAAGACACCCAAGCCAGAAACAGCAACCCUUCUGGGUCCCCUUCCACCACGCAGAAGCUUUACUUUCGCUUUCACUUUACUUUUGCUUUCACUUUAACAAAUCUUGCAGCCGCACACUCUUUGGGUCCGCCCGUUUCUCUAAUCAAGUUGUAACACUCGCUGCUGUGGUCCACAGCUUCAUUCCUUGAAGCCCGUGAGACACGAACGCUUCCAUUGAGAAAAACCUUCCAUCAGAAGAAGACUUCUCGUCUCAGUGGGACUGCUGAGUUGAAUGGUGCUUUUUUUUCUGAAGCUUUGGUAGUGUAACUGUAAGAGUCCUGGAAUUGGAAAAGCAAAUCCAGAAGUUGAGUUCCAUGACUUUUUUGCUGUUUGCCUUUGGGUCCUUGCUUCCCCUUCCCCUUUUGCCAUGAUUGCAAGUAUCCUGAGGCCUCCC